ensembl:misc_RNA Metazoa_SRP Metazoan signal recognition particle RNA
GCCGGGCGCGGUGGCGCACGCCUGUAAUCCCAGCUACUCGGAAGCCUGAGCCCGGAGGAUCGCUUGAGUCCAGGAGUUCUGGGCUGCAGUGCGCUAUGCCGAUCGGGUGUCCGCACUAAGUUCAGCAUCAAUAUGGUGACCUCCCGGGAGCGGGGGAACACCAGGUUGCCUAAGGAGGGGUGAACAGGCCCGGGUCGGAAAAGGGAGGAGCCUGAGCAGAGAUUGGGAGGCAUGGUGGUGCAUGGUGUGUUCAUGGACAGGGAAGCACCUGGCAU